GCGUACGGCCAUACUAUGGGGAAUACACCUGAUCCCGUCCGAUUUCAGAAGUUAAGCCUCAUCAGGCAUCCUAAGUACUAGGGUGGGCGACCACCUGGGAACCGGAUGUGCUGUACGCU
rnacentral:rRNA from 14 species